UACGGAGGGGGCUAGCGUUGUUCGGAAUCACUGGGCGUAAAGCGCACGCAGGCGGAUUGAUAAGUCAGGGGUGAAAUCCCGGAGCUCAACUUCGGAAUUGCCUUUGAUACUGUCUGUCUUGAGUCCGGGAGAGGUGAGUGGAAUUCCUAGUGUAGAGGUGAAAUUCGUAGAUAUUAGGAAGAACACCAGUGGCGAAGGCGACUACCUGGCCUGUUUCUUGACGCUGAGGCGCGAAAGCUAGGGGAGCAAACGGG
rnacentral:rRNA from 1 species